rnacentral:lncRNA from 1 species
UUAGAAUUUGGGGUUUGGAAUGGAUAGAAGAGAUUGAGGUUAAAGGGAGGAUGGGGGUUGGGGUUUGGAAUAUAUGAAGUAGAAGAUAAGGAAGAUGGGAUUCGGGGUUUCGGAUUUCAGGGAUUUAAAUAUAAACGUAGUUAUUUCCUCGUAAAUUAACGAGGAGCUUACGACGAUUCUUAAAAAUAAAAAGGCGGCAGUCGUUAAUUCGACGUAAGCAGAAAUCGUCGUAAAGACCUCGUAAUAAAAAAACGAGGGCCUCGUUCAUUCCUCGUAAAAAUAAAAGCGGGCCUCGCUAAUUCCUCGUAAAUUAACGACGAUGUUACGAGGAAACAAAACACGGGCCUCGCUAAUUCCUCGUAAAUAAAAACACGGGCCUCACGAGUUCUUCGUAACUUUACGAGAAAUUUACGAUGUUUCAUAAUUUCCUAUAUAUACACGCGAGUUCUCACUUCCCAUUUCGUCUCAACUUCCUAUCCCUUUCGUAGCUAUGGUACACUCUAUUUUCUCUCUAAUUUGAUUAGUUUAGGUAGAUUAGGUGGUUAGUGUAGAGAAUUUAGAUAGUUUUCCGGAUUUUGUGUUAAUUAGUGUUGAUUAGGUGGUUAAUGUAGGGAAUUUAGUUAGAUUUAUAAAAUUUGUUAAUUACUGUUGAUGUUAAUUUUAGGCGAGUGAUCAUCCUACACACAUGCCGACGCGGAUGUAGAGAGGAGGAGUGAGGAAUUCUAUUGGGCGAUGAACGACCCUUAGUUUUUUUUCGUUGGUUGUAUUAUAAAUUCAAAAAUUAUUUAUGUAUAAAAUAUUUUCGUAUUUAAAAUUUCUUUUUUAAUUAGAUUUUUAUUAAAUAAUUAAAUAAAUUUAUUAUUUUUAAAAAAAUCUGGAAAAUAUAAAGUCGAAGCAAAUUCGUAGCUAAAUUACGACAACCUUACGUGGAAAUUUUACGAGGAAUUAACAAGUAAAAGAUUUACGUCAACACUACGAAGAAAGAUUAACGAGUAUUUGACGUGGAAACAUUUACGUGUUAUUUACGAGGAAAUGUUUUCGAGGUAUUUACGAGGAAAUGUAGUGUCCCCCUUACGUGGAAGGGUUACGUGGUUUUUACGACGAAUACUUUACUUCGUCUUUACGAAAAAAUGUUUUAUCGCUAGUUUACGACGAAUUAGCGAGGAAAUAUGCGUUACGACGAAUGAAUAACGACGAAACGUGUUUCCUCGCUAAUUCCUCGUAAAUAAAAACACGGGCCUCACGAGUUCUUCGUAACUUUACGAGAAAUUUACGAUGUUUCAUAAUUUCCUAUAUAUACACGCGAGUUCUCACUUCCCAUUUCGUCUCAACUUCCUAUCCCUUUCGUAGCUAUGGUACACUCUAUUUUCUCUCUAAUUUGAUUAGUUUAGGUAGAUUAGGUGGUUAGUGUAGAGAAUUUAGAUAGUUUUCCGGAUUUUGUGUUAAUUAGUGUUGAUUAGGUGGUUAAUGUAGGGAAUUUAGUUAGAUUUAUAAAAUUUGUUAAUUACUGUUGAUGUUAAUUUU